AACGAACGCUGGCGGCAGGCCUAACACAUGCAAGUCGAGCGCCCCGCAAGGGGAGCGGCGGACGGGUGAGUAACGCGUGGGAAUAUGCCCUUUGCUACGGAAUAGUCUCGGGAAACUGGGGGUAAUACCGUAUACGCCCUUUGGGGGAAAGAUUUAUCGGCGAAGGAUUAGCCCGCGUUGGAUUAGGUAGUUGGUGGGGUAAUGGCCUACCAAGCCGACGAUCCAUAGCUGGUUUGAGAGGAUGAUCAGCCACACUGGGACUGGGACACGGCCCAGACUCCUACGGGAGGCAGCAGUGGGGAAUCUUAGACAAUGGGGGCAACCCUGAUCUAGCCAUGCCGCGUGAGUGAUGAAGGCCUUAGGGUUGUAAAGCUCUUUCAGCUGGGAAGAUAAUGACGGUACCAGCAGAAGAAGCCCCGGCUAACUCCGUG
rnacentral:rRNA from 1 species